AUUUACUUCUCUGCAAUACAGUUUACUUAAGAUAAUCUUGAGAGUAUUUUCCAUUUUAGGUUUCAUGUGUUGUAUCUUCACAACUACCACGCCAGGAAAAACGCUAAAUAAAUAAACAGACAGAAAACUUAUUGCUAUUAUACUCUGUGAAAAUGCAAACUUAAUCUGCUUCCACCUAAAAUGGGCUGAUUUUUCAGUGAUGUAUAUAAACAGGCAAAUCCUUGUUUAGAAUAUAGCAUUUUGCUUACAUAAAAAUCUGACAUUCCUAGAAACUUGAUUAUUGCAUUGUGUACAGAGUCUGCAUUAUAGAGCCAUGGAAUUGUUUAGGCUGGAAAUGACCUGUAAGAUCAUCAAGUCCUACCAUUAACUCAGCUCUGCCAAGGCCACCACAAGACCAUGUCUCAAAAUGCCACAUCUACACAUCUUUUAGAUAUCUCCAGGGAUGAUAACUCCAUCCCUUCCCUGGCCAGCUGUUCCAAUGUUUGAGAACCCUUUCGGUGAAGAGAUCUCUCCUGAUACCCAAUCUAAACCUCCUCUGGUGCAAGCUGGGUCUAUUUCCCUUUGCCCUAUACAUGCAAACUUUAAAAAAAAAAAUUAUUAAGUCAGUUUUAAAAAAGUUUAGUAAGGGAAACACUUUUCUAUAAGCUGUGAUUUGGACAACCACACUUCACUACUAUUAGCAAACUCCUAGCAAAACAAUUGCUUUUUAUUACACACAGUUCUGUACCGCUGAUCAGCGCAGGCUUUAACCACAAAAGUCAGUGCUGUGACAGUCACUUGUCAUUCCCCUGCCUAGCACUCACUGCAGAGCAGAACUUUUCCACUGUGCUAUUUACCACCAUUUUGUCUUUUUUACAGUACUACAGACUAACUGUUUUUCCCUUCUGUUUAAAGAGAUUCUUAUUUCUCAUGGAUGACUGCUUCCUUAUGUGAGCUUCUACUUAACACCUUCAGUGAAAACUGACAUUUACAGUUAAUACUCAGUCUCUCUUGCAGUAGUUUUCAAAAAGACACAUCAAGCAAUGUCUAUAGUUGGGUGUUAGCACAGUUAUGUUUAAGCUAAAAAUUCUGUUUCAUCCUGGGGGUUAACUGCAGUGCUUUUUAUUUUAAGUUUAGCAAAUGCUAUAGAUGUCUCAGUGCAUCUUCCUUCUGGAAGUUUUCAGCUGCCCAAGGAGAGAAACUACUCUCACCAUGGUACUGUUGCUUGAGUUAUGGAGGCAAGUAGUUCUGACUUCAGAAUGCGUGACUCACACAAGUGAAUUUUCUCUUGCCAGCUGUAUUUUGGUAACUUUUUACCACAUGCAGACAAAUUCUUGCUGCCUUAUCAGCCCAGACUAAGAUUUUGUUUACUUAGUUCAGUAUCUUCCAUUACUGAUUUCACUUUCACUCGUUUACUUUCACUCUCUCAUUAAAGAACCCUGAUCUCUCAGUUUGGAUUCAAAACUGUUUUGGAAAUACUUCACAUGGAGGUCUCCAUUUCUGUUCUGAAAACCUUAAGAUCAAAAUAACAAUUGCAAGAAGCAGCAACACAAAUACACAGUGAACAAAAUUAGUUUUAAAAACUUCAACCUCAGACUGCCUGUCAGAGACUCACCUGCGAACAGGCUGUGCAAGUUUGCUACGAGGCACUGGGAUGCCCCCUGUGGAAGGGGCACUGGGUCUGGGCAAGCCACUCCUCAUCCCUGCUGGUCUGGUAAGAGUAGUACUGUUAAUACUGCUGGCAGGACUGGGCAAGCCUGAGCUCUGGGCUGCGAGGGGCCCUGGUGAAGAACUGCUGUGCGUCAGCUGAGCGGCUUCUGGAGAGGCAGCCAAGCCCGGCCCGUGGGUGCUGAAUGCUUUCACCGGCUGCCGCAGGGCCAAGGGAGAAGGUGCCGCGGGCGAGCGGAAUUUACUCGAAGAAGGUACUGCAAAAUAUAGAGGUCACUUUCAGCUUGUGUUACAAUAUUACUGAAAUGAACAACUGGAAAUUACUUUAUGUGAUUGUACAAACAAUAUGGAAUGUAUAAUGGAAUACAGCCAAUCAAGCAGCAAUGAGAAACAGGAAUUCAGAUGUCCUCUUUGUCAUGUGUUUUUGAUAUCAUAAUUCUAAUGCCCUCUUUGCUGACUACAAAUAUUUAUUUGGAUUUGUAAGUGAUCCUAAUCAGGCUAUAACUGUUGUAUCAGUUAAGUCAAAAGAAACAGAGAAGAAGGCUUAAGAAGAAAUUUAACUGCUUCAGAAACAUGUGAACUUAAUUCCCGUCUGUGAAAGAACACGUUGAAGAACACAGUAUUCUAGUGUGACACAGGCUUUAAACAGAUUCAAAGGCUAUUUUAGUCUUCAAUGAUGAAAUUUUGAGCACAGAGCAUCUUGGUGUUUCUUUAAUGCUGUUCUGUUUAACCACUGAGUUAGAAUUCAUCUAAAGAUAUAGUUACAUCCCACAUUUUCUGGCAGAUGGAAAAAAAAAAAAAGAUGGGGUUAUCUGUCCUGAUUUCAGCUGGGAUAGAGUUAAUUUUCUUCCUAGUAACUGGUAUAAUGCUGUAGUUUGGAUUAAGGAUGACAUCAGCCAACCUCCAACACCAAAGAGGUUAAGGUGCUGCUUAAUGAAACUUAAACCAGACAACUCUUAACAAUUUAUAGCCUUCCUCUUCUUACAAACAUUACCUAAAUGAUCAGUAUAACUAAUACCUGUCUCUAGUAUUUGUACCUGAGUUAGUAUGCAAGGUUUUGUUAUCAGUCCUUUCUGGGAUAUGUUAAUAAGACAGAAUAUUCAACAGUCCUUUGAUAAUGCCAAACCUUAAGCAUAAUUCUUCACAAGUAUGAGGAAUAUUUACAAAUUAUGCAUAACUUAUCACUGAAUAGAAUACUUAAAUGAACUCAUCAUCUUAGUAAUGGAAUGAAAUUUCACCAGCUUUUCGAAAUGAUUAGAGUGAGUCAGUAAGAGUCAACACAGGAUGAUCAAAUCAAUCACGUAACAAAAGCAUGUUUACAUCUAGUAAAUCUGCAUUAACUAUACUUUCUUCUACUAAAUAAUUGUUUUAUACUGAGACCAAAGUUGCAUCGUUUUUGACAGAUGUUGUGCAUAAAGAAGCUGGUCCUUAACACAGCUUUUAUUAUAAUUUUCAAGGUAGAUCCAGUAAGAACACGAGGAGUGAGAAAGGAGACAGGUAAUGCAGGAAUGCAGCAUCCCAAAUGGGGUACAGAAGAACUGGUAAUUUUGAGAUUGUAUUCUGAAGCUGUUUCUUAUAGGGGAUGUCUAGGAAGAUUAAUAUGUACCUCAUUAGAGAUGUGAAUUGGAUUUGAUUUCUUUCUGGAUUACCCAAGGGGACCUUUCCCCUGACAGCAAUAUCAAACACAGCAUGAAGCCGCUCAUGGGAAAAGCUGACAAGAAAAGGUGACAGAGAGGUCAAAACCACAUGACAGUUGCUAAGUGGCAGGGAGAUUAAGUAAAAAACCUUAAAAUAAAAGCUGGCAUGAAGCCAGAGUAUGGAUUAAGGAAAGCAUUACCAACGGAAUGACUGGACAAGAAGAGCAUCCAAGUGCUCCUAGGACUAAGAUAGAUUAUAUGUAAGUUUUUAAAACGUGACAUCGCCUGUUAACAUCGAUGCAAUCAAAUCUGCAGAAUUUCCAAGUGACUCUACAGUGUAAAUAGUGGGAGCUUUUAUCACUGAACUCCUCAUUAUAAUGCUUGGAACACAAACACAGCACCAUGUUAGCAACUACCAACAAAGCAAUGCCAGUGUAUAAAAACUGAAUACAGCUUCAGGCCUCUUACAGGCACAACAGGGAAAAGGUUUUUAGGUAAAGAAUACAAGCAACAAAAAGUUGCAACAGAAGUAAGCUUCCAGCAUUCCCAGAAGAAGUAAGGAUCCAGUAAAUUAGUCUUCUCCAUCCUCUUUAACUUUCUGCUGGCCAUAUUUUACCAUGCUGCAAACUUGAGCUGUCAAUUCAUAAAACAUUUCCUGUCAGCACAGCAUUGCAGACAUUGCUGAGAGCUAUAUUCAUUCUUGUGCAUAAAGGAAUGAAUUGUCUUCCAGAGCAGCCCACAUGAUGCAGUCUGGCAAACUGCCUAAUAGUUCUGUUCUACAGAUAAAGAAUUUGGUCUCAGAGCAGUUUUUGAUAUUCAUUAUAGUCAGUUUGGUCUAUCUGUAAGACAGGAUCACAAAGACUGAGGUACUGCCUCACAGACUAUUUGGUAACUGCAUAACCAUGUAUAGUAUUUAGCUGAUCCAUGUUCAACAAAAACGUGUAAACAUGUAAGUGUAGUGCUUAAUAACUUUACACAACUCGGUCUCUCCUUAUAAAGUAAACUAGAAACAGCUACAAUUAAAACAUCUGGCAGCCAAAAAAAAAAAGAAAAAGAAAAAAAAGAAAAAAAUUAAAAGGCAUGGUGCAGUUAUGAUAUUUAGAUGUCCUACCCUCUCUGGACUCUGUCCUGGAUUGUGGGCAGGGAGCACGAGAUCUCCAUGUGGCAAAGUAGGGUGCUGUGAAGCUGCAAACUUAUUUGGCUUGCACUCCAAGGCCAGCUGCUGCACACCAACUUGAAAACAGAUUAAAUUCUAAUGCAGUUGUUAAACCACAACCAUUAUGAUGAGAUGAAUCACCCCAAUAUGAAAGAACAGAUGAGGUAUAACUAUUGGAAUCAAUAAACUGAUCUGUCAUCUCAGUACAGGAAAGAAGUGGACCUGUUGGAGCAGGUACAGAGCAUGGAUGAGUAUCUCUCCUCUAUCUGGAGAGAGGUGGAGGUCUUCAGCCUGGAGAAGAGAAGGUGCUGGGGAGAUGUUACCACAAAGUGGUAAAAAAAAAGCCAACAUGUGUGUGAAAGGUGUCAAGCUACGUAAUGAACAGUAUUUUAAGAAGGCUCAGACCAGGCCACUGACCUAAUAAGUGUUCCAGACAGCCAGAGGAGGGCAUGGCCAACUGGAAAGAAAGCAAAGAAAGCUCUGCAGAGGAAUAGCAAUGCACUGUGAGAACUUUAUCUGAUGGAGUUUGAAGAAACUGUUUGGUUUUGAAGGCAGCACGAGGCAAAUUUUUCUGCCUUUGCAGAGCUGUUGAAAGACAAGAAGUGUUAUAUUUGUCUAAGAAGAUAAGAAAACUAAAUUCACUGGGAAUUUCAGAAUUGUAUCCACUUGUGAAGCAUCAAGAAACUACUCUGCUUGGAUGUUGGAAGUCCUGGACAAGUUUGGAAGACUACGCCUUAGCUUUUCUGUAUGAAAUAAUACAAAGACACAACAUGUAAUCUGAUGCUGGACAAAGGUCAGGUUGUGAACCUGUAGCUGAGCCCCAAAUAGCUGGGUUGAUGACAUACUUUGGACAGAAGACUGAAGAGGCCUUGACAGGAUGAGUGGCCAACCUGAUUCUGCAGAGGGAUGCAGGGAAGAAGUAGGUUACAAUGCACAAGCACUAAAGGUGAAAACAAAACUAAGUCUUCAUUGGCUGAAUUAUUCCAAUAAAUGUACUUUCUUCACUUA